rnacentral:rRNA from 1 species
UACGAAGGUCCCAAGCGUUAUCCGGAUUUAUUGGGUUUAAAGGGUGCGUAGGCGGCUUAUUAAGUCAGUGGUGAAAGCCCCAAGCUUAACUUGGGAAUUGCCAUUGAUACUGAUGAGCUUGAGUAGAUUUGAGGCGGGCGGAAUGUGUCGUGUAGCGGUGAAAUGCUUAGAUAUGACACAGAACACCGAUUGCGUAGGCAGCUCGCUAAACUCUUACUGACGCUGAGGCACGAAAGCAUGGGGAUCAAACAGGAU